rnacentral:rRNA from 1 species
AAAUCAUCGAAUCUUUUGAAACGCACAUUCGCGCCCAUUAGUAUUCUAGUGGGCAUGCCUGUUCGAGCGUCAUUU